rnacentral:rRNA from 1 species
GACAGAGGUGCCAAGCGUUAGGCGGAAUCACUGGGCUUAAAGCGUGUGUAGGCGGGCGAUCAAGUACCUUGUGAAAUCCCACGGCUCAACCGUGGAACUGCUCGGUAUACUGCCGGUCUUGAGCCACCUAGGGGCGAGCGGAACAAAUGGUGGAGCGGUGAAAUGCGUAGAUAUCAAGUGGAACACCAGUGGCGAAGGCGAGUCUCUGGACAUUUCCUGACGCUGAGGCACGAAAGCCAGGGGAGCAAACGGG